UCCGGUUUAACCACCGGCGGUCCCUCUAGAGAUCCACUUUCGUGGCAACUAAAGGCGAGGGUUGCGCUCGUUGCGGGACUUAACCCAACAUCUCACGACACGAGCUGACGACAGCCAUGCAGCACCUGUCUCUCGGUUCCCUUGCGGGCACCCCGCCGUUUCGGGCAGGUUCCGAGGAUGUCAAGCCCAGGUAAGGUUCUUCGCGUUGCGUCGAAUUAAACCACAUGCUCCGCUGCUUGUGCGGGUCCCCGUCAAUUCCUUUGAGUUUUAGCCUUGCGGCCGUACUCCCCAGGCGGGGCACUUAAUGCGUUAGCUUCGGCAUGGAGGGAGUCGAUAUCCGCCCACACCUAGCACCCAACGUUUACGGCUAGGACUAC
rnacentral:misc_RNA from 1 species